CGGGUAACAUUCACAUGGACACUUGCUACACACUUUCUGUUUCUUUCUUGUGUUGUCAAAUCCAACUUUACUUUGAGUCUCCAUCAGCUAGGGCUGAUAUACUACUCAUUGAUCUCUUCAAGCAGUUGGGUUCAAUCGCUGCUCAGUCAACUUGCAUAUAAAAUUUGCAUAUUUCCUGUUGAAUUAUUGAAGUGACUCAGGAAUUUUAUUAACAAAUUAUUAUUAGAGAAUACAUUCUGUCCGGAGCUGGCAGAAAAUGGCUUGUUUACGCCACCAAUCAAAAGCUGCCACAUCAGAUAGUUAAUGAGGAAGCAGUGCACUUUAUAACAUAGGAUUAUAACCCAAACCCAUCUAAAAUUACCAAACGCAUAUUCAGAAGCAGACCUGGAGAAUACCUUACCAAUGCCUAACCAAGCCAUCUCCUCUGACCACCGGAGCUCUACCCUGCCAUUGGAGCCGCCGUGGCGUCAUUAGGAGUCGCCGCCGCGUCGUUUUGAGUCGGCGCCGAUGCACCCAACCUCAAGCUCCUAAUUGGUGGCGUAAACAAGCUAUUUUCUGCCAGCUCCGGACUGAAGGUAUUCUCUUAUUAUUAUAUGUAGAGUUUUCUGUUUUCUAAUUGAUCUUCUUGGCAAUUGAAGUGGAAGGCGAUUGAGACUUUCAUUAUAUGGAAGGCCGGGCCCAUGACACACAACUAUCCUGCACAUGACAGAGUCUUUGCAUUCUUUAGCAAGUCUAUUACAUGCCUUAAAAGCAUUCAACUUUACACUUUGAAUCAGAAGAAAAAGUUGAGGCAUGAGAUUUAUUUGAGCAAGUAAAAUGAAAGAUCAAGAAACUGGCGGAGAAGCAGAAAGACAGCCUCUUGUUUCUCACUAUUUCUUUUUUUUUUGGUUAAUCUCACUAUUUCUUUCACUUUGAUAUUACUUGUUUCCAAAAAGUUCAAUUGCAGCUGACAGCAUAACUGCAACACGGUCCAUGAAUGCUAGCCAAACAUUGGUUUCAUGAGGCCAAAAAUUUGAACUUGGCUUCCUCACUGCUGGAGGUUCUGGUGAUCUAUAUUUAGGAAUAUGGUACAAGAAUAUCCCAAUUAAGACUAUAAUUUGGGUUGCAAAUAGGGACAGCCCUUGUCAGAAUUCAUAACGUGUUAAAAUAGAAAAUCUGAGGGGACGUUUGGUUACGUUCUAGUAAUAUUUUUGUAUUUUUUAGAAAUAUGUGUGAGUGAAAAAAAAAUGUAUAAAAAUACAUGUAAUAUUGUUUAAAAAUGAAAAAAAAAAUGUUUAAACUCCCUAUAAGUCAUAUAAAUGGC